GUGAGAAGUUGCUCACUCACAGAAAGCUAGUAAAUAAUUAAAUUUAAUUUUGUUAAAAAAAAAAAAAAACGAAAGAAAACUGAAAACGGGUCUCACAGACCCGAUUACCAUACAAGGGUUAAAAGCAGUAAAUUAAAAGCAGAAAGACACAGGAAGUUGCCUGUUGUUUUACGAGAAGUUGCUCGUUAAGCGAGAAGUUGCUCGCUAAGUGAGAGUUGCUCACACAAACAAAAAAAAUUGCUAGCAAUAAAUUUAAAGUAACCUCAGCUGUGCCGCAGCGAAAAUACUAACCUAAAUCCUCCUAGCGUGUAAACCCCUCUGGAAAUCACUGAACAUGGGUCAGAAUAAUUCAAAGACCACAGACAGGUCCGAUAAAAAAUCUAAAGUACCUAUAAAACCAAAAAUUAAUAAAAUACAAAAUAAAGUCUCAAAUAACGGCUCAGUAUAACUCCCAUUUCCGGUUACGUGUAACCUACGUCCGCGAAUCGGUGAAGACGUCCAUGAUCACGUAUCCAGAACAUGCGGGAGUGCUUAUGUGACUGACUUUGUUUACAACUUAAGAAGUUCAAUGCAUUCUAAUUUCUUUCCGGAGCCUUAUCCCGAACGAUUAUCGCCAGAAAACAGACUAUUUCCAAGACCAUGGUCAGCUUCCAGAGGGGCACCGCUAGUAGAAGUUCCACCAGUGGAGACAAGGAGAUGCAUGUUGGAGAAGCCACUAAAACCAAGGACUCUCUGGGAGGCCGCGCGUGUUCCAGCCCCCAGACUGUACUGGCAGUGACGAAGAACCAGCAUCCUCACAGACGGACAACCUCAGUGGAUUCAUGCCAGCAGGGUUAAGACCAGCCCAAUCGGACCAUCUCAGGCGUCGGAUCAAGCAGACGACAUCUCCGGCGAGCCAGCGCCCGGAACUAGAGCAAAUAAACACACACGGGUAGAUGACAUCUCCGGCGAGCCAGCGCCAGGAUCCAAUGUACACACACACAAUCACUGAUUAACACACAACGUCUGAAAGAGCAACAACAAGGUACUCAAACAUCCAGCAGGAACAGAAAGCCAAAAGUACCACAUGAUGUCUAACCUGAUAAAGCCAGACUCAUUUCAUCCUGAUAAUGGAGAAAAUGAAAUGCCCAUUGUCAUCAUACGACGCUUAUUCUAUGUCUCUCGAACCUGGGACCAGGCCAGAAGACGACUGAAGAACUGUCUUUUUUAUAUAUUUAGGUUAUUAAUCAUAUCUACUGCAUUAACCUUAGGAUUUUUAUUUACUAUUUCAUAUUGUAAAGUGCAACCCUGUUCACAUUUCUGCAAGCCACAUUUUCAAUGAUAACCCAUAUAGCUACCAGUACAGCCACUUCAAUGUAUUUGCAAUUAGCACAAAUUGAUCCUGAGGAUGUGCCAGAUGUUACCAAUGAUGUUCCUGAUGUGUAUAUUGAACAUUAGGUUGUGAACUAUUACAUUUUAUGAUUUGCUUUUUAUAUUAUGUUAUUACAUUUGUGAUUUUUCCUUUCUAUUUGAGUUAUUAUUUUUAAAAAAUAAUAAAAGAGGGGAACUGUUAGGUAUUUUAGUACCACGGUUAGCAUUUACAGAAGAUUGUUUUAUACAGAAAAGAGUUGCUCAAUAAGGCCCAUCUACUAGUUGUUUUUCUCUUUCUCUGUGACCCAAGAAUUAAUGUGAGACUCACAAGCUGGUACCUCAAGGUCGAAAACACCACAGAGAUGAGACCACUUCUUUACUCCCAUCCUCCCUUUUCCUUAUCUCCUGGAAAAGGCUCGUUAAAGGCUAGGUGGUUCGUUUCAGAAUUCACUAAUGAAAGAACUCUGUAUUUUAUGUCUAGGAGUGUAUUUUGCUGGGAUGAUCAUAAAUUGUAGCUGAGCUGAUAAACUACACACAGGAUACUUCUUUGUUCACAAGGCAGGAAGACGUUUCCUUAUUUGGUCUGUACCGGUUUGAACUGGGAAAGCUGACACACGAACCUUUUUUCAUCUAUAUAAACUGC
ensembl:lncRNA